rnacentral:lncRNA from 1 species
GGAAUUCAGUUAGAGGAGAGAGAGUGAGUUUGUUAGAAGGGAGAGAGAGUAUAAAUAACAAAUAGUUUGAGAGAGGAAGGGGAUUGAGAAUUUUGGAAUUAAGACUGGACCUCUUGGCCAGUGGAGGAAGGGAGGCUUCCUUGGGGGAGAGUUAGAUACUGUAUUCAUCUUUUCUUAUCAUUAUAGGGGAAAUAUCAAUACAUAUAUAUACAUAUCUCUUACACUGUUGAGUGGGUAUGCGUUUUUUUUGCUGCUGUUCGGUUCCUUGCAUAAAGGAACCUAACAGAUUUGGUCCGACCUGCCGGAUCAUUUCGGAGGGAAGAGGAGUGCGUGUGAUCGGAGAAGAAUGGAGGGGCGAAUGGUGGCUGUGGAGUCGACGAUGGAGGAGUUGAAGGCAGAAAUGCGAGCGAUGACUCUUGAGUUUCGACGAGCNUUCGGAAAACGUUCUGGAACCCGCGAUAGGAGUUCUGAGGGGAGUCGAAAUUCCGUCCAUGGUGAUCGAGAACGAAGUUCGACGGAGAGUACUGAUGAAGAAUCGGAGGAGGACCGGGACGACGUACAANGCAGUUGGAUGAAGCGAGUUGAGCUUCCAACUUUUGAAGGUACUGAUCCAACGGGGUGGAUAGCGAAGGCUGAGAAAUUUUUUGACAUCCAGGGAGUGACGGAGAAAGAGAAGAUGAAGUUAGUGUAUAUCUGCAUGGACGGAGGUGCUAACUACUGGUUUCGCUUCUGGCGAAAGAAAACCCGACAUCCAACAUGGAAGGCGUUCACGAAGGCGUUGACGAGGAGGUUCGGCGGAUUGAAUAGGGGAACCGUUUUUGAGAAGUUGGCCGCGGUGCGACAGAGAGGGGGCGUCGAUGAGUAUAUCCAGGAGUUCGAAGUACUCGUGGCGCAGGUGACCGGAGUAACCGAAGACCAAUUGUUGGGGUAUUUUUUNGCGGGUUUGCAGGAGGGAUUGCGAAACGCUGUGAGACCNCAUGACCCUUGCGACUUGNUGACGGCGAUNGAGAGAGCUAGGGACAUCGAACAAAUGGGAUGGACGUCGCGAGGAGGUAGUGGAAUGGGAGGAAGAGGCGGAGCGACUUGGGGAAGAUACUCCGCGAGUUCAGGGACGGUGGCGAGGACAGAAACUUUUCGCAGACCGUCGGAGGGAUCGGUGAAUGGCGGCGGAGGGCAAGGAAUGAAGAAGGACGUUAGUGCUAAUACCAUGGCUUUGAAGGCUGGUAACAGUGGAGGAGGAACCGCGGGACGAGGUGUUCGGACCCUACCUUACCAAGAAUACAUGAAGCGGCGAGAAGAAGGACGCUGUUUCCACUGCGGCGGACCUUACAGUCCAGGCCAUCGUUGCGCUGAACGGAGCAUGCGGGUGAUGAUAUUGGCAGAGGAGGACGAAGAGGAAGAAGCAGAGGCAAGUGUCGAAGUAGAACAGAAGGCUAUGGAGUUGUCGGGAUUGUCCGCGGGUGGCCUCUCGCAAUCGAACACGAUGAAGCUGCAAGGGUGGGUGCAGGGGAAGAGAGUUCUGGUGCUUAUUGACAGUGGAGCUACCCAUAGUUUUAUAUCCACCCGAUUGGUGGAAGAGCUGGGUCUGGAGUGCACUGACACACGCCCUUAUAAAGUGUGUCUAGGGGAUGGGCAAAGGAAAGAAACCAGCGGGUAUUGCACAGGGGUCUCGGUGUUACUAGAAAACUUAGAAGUUAGAGAUAAGUUGUAUCUCUUUGAAUUAGGCGGUGUGGACAUAAUAUUGGGAAUGACUUGGUUAUCCUCCCUAGGAGAAAUCAAAGUAGAUUGGGGACAGCUCAUCAUGAAGGUGGCGCAUGGAGGAAGAGAAGUGGAGGUAAAGGGGGAUCCAUCAUUGACACGUAGGGUGGUGACUCCUGAAGCUCUUAUAAAAGAAAAAGGGAUUGAAAUGCUGACUUUAGUAUGGAGCUUAAGCCAAACAGAAUUGGUGGAUGAGAAGAUGGAAGAGAGUGGCUUAAUGCAAGAUGAAGAGGUAGAGCUGGAACAGAUUCUAAGUGCUUUUGAAGGGGUAUUCCGAGACCCUCAAGGCCUCCCACCCGAGAGGAGAGUGGAUCACAGAAUUCCCUUAAAAGAGGGUAGUGAGCCCGUCAAUGUGAGGCCAUACAGGUACCCUCAUGGAAUGAAAGCUGAGAUAGAGCGUCAGGUGGAAGAGAUGCUGAAUUUGGGCAUUAUCAGGCCCAGUAACAGUCCAUACUCUAGUCCUAUAAUAUUAGUGAAAAAGAAGGAUGGAAGUUGGAGGUUUUGUGUGGAUUAUAGGGCAUUGAACAAGGUAACAGUGGCUGAUAAAUACCCCAUUCCAGUCAUUGAGGAGCUGCUGGAUGAACUUCAAGGUGCAUCAUACUUUUCUAAAGUUGAUUUAAAAGCUGGGUAUCAUCAGAUAAGAAUGAAGAGGGAAAACAUUCCAAAAACUGCUUUUCGGACACAUCAAGGGCAUUAUGAAUUCCUUGUGAUGCCCUUUGGAUUAACAAAUGCCCCAGCCACAUUCCAAGACAUGAUGAAUUUAGUUUUAAGGCCGCUAUUGAGGAGGUUUGUGUUAGUAUUUUUUGAUGAUAUACUCAUCUAUAGCAAGACUUGGGAGGAGCAUUCUCAACACCUCACUCAAGUCUUAAAAGUCUUGGCUGAACAUGAACUUUUUGCAAACAAAAAGAAGUGUGAAUUUGGGAGAAGACAAGUGAGAUAUUUGGGGCACAAGAUAUCGGCAACAGGGGUGGAGAUGGACAGGGAGAAGGUUGCAGCUGUCUUGGAAUGGCCAGAACCCAGAAACAUCAAGGAGUUGAGAGGGUUCCUUGGGUUAACUGGGUAUUAUCGCAGGUUCAUUAGGGACUAUGGGAAAAUGGCUAAACCCCUUACUGAUUUGUUGAAAAAAGAGAUGUUUAAAUGGUCUAAAGAGGGGGCCAUGGCAAUGCAGAAGCUUAAAGAGGCAGUGACUACAGCUCCAGUGUUGAUUCUCCCUGAUUUUGAGCAAACCUUUGUUGUAGAAUGUGAUGCUUCGGGUACAGGCAUUGGGGCUGUUUUGUCCCAGAAAAACAGACCCAUAGCCUUCUUUAGUAAGGCGUUAUCUGAGUCUUCCUUAACCAAGUCCAUUUAUGAGAAGGAAUUAAUGGCACUUGUGCUUGCUAUACAACAUUGGAGGCCAUAUCUAUUGGGNCAGAAGUUUNUUGUCUUUANUGAUCAGAAGAGUUUGCGUUAUUUACUGGAACAACGCAUUACAACUCAAAGUCANCAAAAUUGGCUAGCUAAACUUUUGGGGUACGAAUUUGAAAUCAAAUAUAGGACAGGUGCUUCCAAUCAUGUGGCAGAUGGGUUAUCCAGAAAAGGCAUGGAAGAGGAGGAAACAGACAAGAUGCUACNNAUGAUAUCACGNCCAUAUUGGCNUGAAUUUCAAGAGAUCAUGGAGGAGGUGGAAAAAGAUGAGAGUUUGCAGAAGGUGCUGGAGGAAUUAAAGGUAGACCCUAACUCUCAUCCAGCUUAUACGUUGGAGCAUGGAAGAUUACAUUACAAGGGGAGACUUGUCUUAUCAGCAAAAUCUGUUUGGAUCCCUCGCUUGUUGGCUGAAUUCCAUGGUAGUGUCACAUGAGGGCAUUCCGGAGUUUACAGAACCUUUAGACGGGUGGCCCAAUCUUUGCAUUGGAUAGGAAUGAAGAAAACUGUUACAGAUUUUGUGGCUGCAUGUGUAGUAUGCCAACAACACAAAUAUUUGGCAGUUUCUCCUCAAGGAUUGUUGCAGCCUUUGCCUAUACCCAACGCCAUUUGGGAGGAGAUUAGUAUGGAUUUUAUUGUCCAAUUACCCAAAUCUCAUGGAUUUGAUACUAUAUUGGUUGUGGUGGACAGACUUAGCAAAUAUGGCCAUUUUAUCCCAGUCAAACACCCUUAUACAGCCANAUCAAUCGNUGCAUUGUUUGUGAAGGAAGUGAUUCGGCUUCACGGGAUACCCAUGACCAUUGUAAGUGAUCGCGACUCAACAUUCAUGAGUGUUUUUUGGCAGGAGAUCUUCCGCCUGCAGGGAACUCAACUGAACAUGAGUACUGCUUAUCAUCCACAGUCAGAUGGCCAAACAGAGGUGCUGAAUAGGGUGCUGGGAACUUAUUUGCGUUGUUUUAGUUCUGAACAACCAAAAAUUUGGAGUACAGUCUUGCCUUGGGCGGAAUAUUGGUACAACACUAGUUACNAAGGAGCUUCAAAAUGCACACCUUUUGAAACUGUGUAUGGAAGACUCCCUCCAACUCUCACACGUUUCAUUCCUGGAGAAACAGUGGUGGAAGCCGUUGCACAAGAAUUACAAACACGAGAUGAGGCUUUGACACAACUUAAAUAUCAUCUAACCAGAGCUCAAGACCAGAUGACUCACUAUGCCAACAAGAAGAGGAUGGACACCAAGAUCAAGGAAGGAGAUUGGGUAUUCUUGAAAAUCCGGCCUCAUAGACAGACUUCUAUGCCCACACGCUUACACCCAAAACUUUCUGCACGGUAUUAUGGACCAUUUUUGGUGGAGAAACAAUUAGGACCAGUUGUUUUUCGCUUGNAGUUACCUACAUCAUCAAGAAUCCACCCUGUUUUUCAUGUUUCCCAAUUGAAGCUAGCUAUAGGGGNUCAUUCGGUGGAAGGGCAUCUUCCCACUNAACUGCAAGUUGACAGCCCUAUGUACACCCCUCUAAAGGUAUUACAGCGCAGGAAUCAGCUGCAACAAGGAGAGGAGAUUCCCCAAGUUUUAAUCCAAUGGCAAGAAGGUGGGUUGGAUGGAGCUACUUGGGAAGAGGAACAAUACAUUCGACAGCAGUUCCCUGACUUCAACCUUGAGGACAAGGUUGAUCUUGGGGAGGAGGGUAAUGUUAGACAAUUAAAAGUGUAUAUGAGGAGGAAUAAAAGAAGAGAAAGUUAGUGGCNNNNNNNNNNNNNNNNNNNNNNNNNNNNNNNNNNNNNNNNNNNNNNNNNNNNNNNNNNNNNNNNNNNNNNNNNNNNNNNNNNNNNNNNNNNNNNNNNNNNNNNNNNNNNNNNNNNNNNNNAGAGGAAAUAUCAAUACAUAUAUAUACAUAUCUCUUACACUGUUGAGUGGGUGUGCGUUUUUUUUGCUGCUGUUCGGUUCCUUGCAUAAAGGAACCUAACAGGAUCCCUGAAGAUAUCAAUGAGGAGGAG